GGCAGGGUGGCUGAGAGGUAAGCGGUGGAUUGUAGACCCAUAAACAAAGGUUUAACUCCUUUUCCUGCCA
rnacentral:tRNA from 2 species